rnacentral:rRNA from 1 species
UACGGGGGGGGCAAGCGUUGUUCGGAAUUACUGGGCGUAAAGGGCUCGUAGGCGGCCAACUAAGUCAGACGUGAAAUCCCUCGGCUUAACCGGGGAACUGCGUCUGAUACUGGAUGGCUUGAGAUUGGGAGAGGGAUGCGGAAUUCCAGGUGUAGCGGUGAAAUGCGUAGAUAUCUGGAGGAACACCGGUGGCGAAGGCGACACCCUGGACCAACACUGACGCUGAGGAGCGAAAAGCCAGGGGAGCAAACGGGA